UACGUAGGGGCAAGCGUUGUCCGGAUUUAUUGGGCGUAAAGAGCGUGUAGGCGGCCAUACAGGUCCGUUGUGAAAACUGGAGGCUUAACCUCCAGACGUCGAUGGAAACCGUAUGGCUAGAGUCCGGAAGAGGAGAGUGGAAUUCCUGGUGUAGCGGUGAAAUGCGCAGAUAUCAGGAAGAACACCCGUGGCGAAGGCGGCUCUCUGGGACGGUACUGACGCUGAGACGCGAAAGCGUGGGAGC
rnacentral:rRNA from 1 species